AUGAGCCGGACCCCCUCGCUCGCAUUGAGAAUCCCGUCCAGUAACAGCCAGGACAAAAAAGGAACCACUGACAACCACGAAUGCUUUUCCUGCCCUCUGCCCCGGCUCAGUAUCAGAAGGCCAGACACCUACACCGCCGCAGAAAGCCACUGGCAACCGCCGCUGCACUCACGGCCGAUACACCGUUCCGUGCAUGCCCAGUGCUCUCCAGCUAGAGAGGGCCCUUGCUCCCGCGGCCAGCACCACCCCCACCUCGCCGUUAAAACAGGGCCCAAGCUCUGGGCAUCAAAAACCCAGACAGCAACAACCCACGGCGGCAGGAGAGCGCAGCCGGGCGAGGCAGAGAAAGAGCCGGAGCGCCCCCUGGUGGCCGCGGGGCUGCCCUUCCUGCACUGCGCCCGAAGGAAGGCUGAGCCGCUUGUUGCUUCCACCUUCCACCUCCCAAAUGAUCAUACGGUCCAACAAAGAGCUCAGUUCAGGAGUAGAAACUCAUUUUCGUACAGCGGGAGCGAAGGAACGUGCGGCUGACGUAAAUGCCAGUAAGUACCAACGGAAGGAAUUCUCAGGAAACUGGGCCCCAAGGAGCCGCACGUGCUGCCUUUGACGGUCUCUGCAGCUAUGGGGACGAUGACCCGGCUGUCAUGUACUCUGGCGCGUUGUGCAGGUGCUCUUCUGAUGCACCAGCCCCGCUAAAUCAUCCCGCUGUGAUGACGGAACGAAGCGACUCCCAAAGGCACACCCAAGAGCAAACGCUCUCUGGGGUCUGUCAUUUCGUCGGUUUCAUUGGGCUUCCUCCUUCUCUUAAGUUCCAUUCCCUGAGCCAAGCAGGAGGCAAGUGGUCAAAAAAAAAGGAAAAGGUCUAAAAUAAAAUAUGGUUCCUGGAAAACAGCCCCGCUGCCUCCUUCUUUCCUAUCAUGAAGUCUCUCGGCCCCGGCACUACGGACCUGUGGGGCUGGCCCGUCCCCUGCUGUAGUGUCGUCCUGUGUGUGGUGGGACGUUAGCAGCACCCCAGCCACUACCCAGGUGAAGCCAGCAGCAUCCCCACCCCCAUGACACCCAAAAAUGUCUCCAGGUACUGCCCAAUGUCCUCCAGGGGCUGAAAGUGCCCGUCACUGAGAACCACUGUCCUAUCUGACCCUCGGUUUCCAUUCUUACAGCCUCACAGAAAGAGGGUACACACUGACCUCCUCUCAACUAGGAGGAAACGUUAAGGAGUAAGAGCCAGGCAGAGGGAACUGGCUCGGCCUGUGCAGCAGGGGGGGUGCGAGUGAAACAGGAAAUCGGGUCCAUCUGCUGGCAGCUCAAGGCCCAGGUACUGCCUUCGAUGGUCAGCCAGCAAUGUAACCUACAAGCGAGGUUCCCAACAAUCACACGUACGACAUGCCAGGUGCUCUCCACGACAUGCUUUUCCCGUUUUUCUUACCAAGGUAUGAUUCACAUGGAAUAUCUUCAGGACUUGU
rnacentral:lncRNA from 1 species